CCCUUAGAGUUUGAUCCUGGCUCAGGACGAACGCUGGCGGCGUGCUUAACACAUGCAAGUGGAGCGACGAACCAGGGCUUGCCCUGGGGCAAAGCCGCGAACGGGUGAGUAACACGUGGGUAACCUGCCUCGAUGAUCGGGACAACCCGGGGAAACCCGAGCUAAUACCGAAUGUGCCCAGUCCGCAUCAGUGGACUGUGUAAAGGAAGCUUCGGCCUCCGCAUCGAGAUGGGCCCGCGGCCCAUUAGCUUGUUGGUGGGGUAAAGGCCUACCAAGGCUUCGAUGGGUAGCUGGUCUGAGAGGACGAUCAGCCACACUGGGACUGAGACACGGCCCAGACUCCUACGGGAGGCAGCAGUGGGGAAUCUUGCGCAAUGCGCGAAAGCGUGACGCAGCAACGCCGCGUGGGGGAAGACGGCCUUAGGGUUGUAAACCCCUUUCAGGAGGGACGAAGGUCGGCGCGUUAAUAGCGUGUCCGACUGACGGUACCUCCACAAGAAGCCCCGGCUAACUACGUGCCAGCAGCCGCGGUAAUACGUAGGGGGCAAGCGUUGUCCGGAAUUAUUGGGCGUAAAGAGCGUGUAGGCGGUCCGGUAAGUCAGCUGUGAAAGUCAAGGGCUCAACCCUUGAAUGCCGGUUGAUACUGUCGGGCUAGAGUCCGGAAGAGGCGAGUGGAAUUCCCGGUGUAGCGGUGAAAUGCGCAGAUAUCGGGAGGAACACAAUGGCGAAGCAGCUCGCUGGGACGGUACUGACGCUGAGACGCGAAAGCGUGGGGAGCAAACAGAUAGAUACCCUGUAGUCACGCGUAA
rnacentral:rRNA from 1 species